rnacentral:rRNA from 1 species
GUAGGGAAUAUUGGGCAAUGGAGGCAACUCUGACCCAGCAACACCGCGUGAAUGAUGAAGGUUUUCGGAUUGUAAAGUUCUGUGAUGGGGGACGAACAAAUGACGGUACCCCAAUAGCAAGCCACGGCUAACUACGUGCCAGCAGCCGCGGUAAUACGUAGGUGGCAAGCGUUGUCCGGAAUGACUGGGCGUAAAGGGUGCGUAGGUGGCUAUUCAAGUUAGCGGUGAAAUCCCGGGGCUCAACUCCGGUGCUACCACUAAUACUGUUUAGCUUGAGUACGGGAGAGGUAACUGGAAUUCCUAGUGUAGCGGUGGAAUGCGUAGAUAUUAGGAAGAACACCAGAGGCGAAGGCGAGUUACUGGACCGCAACUGACACUGAGGCACGAAAGCGUGGGGAGCAAACAGGAUUAGAUACCCUAGUAGUCC